rnacentral:rRNA from 1 species
AUUGAACGCUGGCGGCAUGCCUUACACAUGCAAGUCGAGCGGCAGCGCGGGGGCAACCCUGGCGGCGAGCGGCGGACGGGUGAGUAAUGCAUCGGAACGUGUCCUCUUGUGGGGGAUAACCAGUCGAAAGACUGGCUAAUACCGCAUGAGCUCGUAAGAGGAAAGCAGGGGACCCGCAAGGGCCUUGCGCGAGAGGAGCGGCCGAUGCCCGAUUAGCUAGUUGGCGGGGUAAAAGCCCACCAAGGCGACGAUCGGUAGCUGGUCUGAGAGGACGACCAGCCACACUGGGACUGAGACACGGCCCAGACUCCUACGGGAGGCAGCAGUGGGAAUUUUGGACAAUGGGGAACCUGAUCCAGCCAUGCCGCGUGUGUGAAGAAGGCC